ACGGGCAUAGCUCAGUUGGUAGAGCGGCGGUCUCCAAAACCGCAGGUCGUAGGUUCGAGCCCUGCUGCCCGUG
rfam:Mesorhizobium amorphae CCNWGS0123 contig00109, whole genome shotgun sequence.